AUACGGAGGGGACAAGCGUUAUUCGGAAUCACUGGGCGUAAAGGACGCGUAGGCGGGUUAUUAAGUCGGGUGUGAAAUCCAAUGGUUCAACCAUUGAACUGCAUUCGAAACUGAUAACCUAGAGUAUGGAAGGGGCAGGUGGAAUUAGUGGUGUAGGGGUAAAAUCCGUAGAUAUCACUAGGAAUACCGAAAGCGAAGGCGACCUGCUGGGACAUUACUGACGCUGAGGCGUGAAAGCGUGGGGAGCAAACAGGAUUAGAAACCCCAGUAGUCC
rnacentral:rRNA from 1 species